rnacentral:rRNA from 1 species
UACGAAGGGGGCUAGCGUUGUUCGGAAUUACUGGGCGUAAAGGGCGCGUAGGCGGCGUGUCAAGUCAGGCGUGAAAGCCCCGGGCUCAACCUGGGAACCGCGCUUGAGACUGGCAUGCUCGAGUUCGGGAGAGGAUGGUGGAAUUCCCAGUGUAGAGGUGAAAUUCGUAGAUAUUGGGAAGAACACCGAUGGCGAAGGCAGCCAUCUGGACCGACACU